UGAACGCAAGUCUGAUGGAGCAACGCCGCGUGAGUGAAGAAGGGUUUCGGCUCGUAAAGCUCUGUUGGUAGUGAAGAAAGAUAGAGGUAGUAACUGGCCUUUAUUUGACGGUAAUUACUUAGAAAGUCACGGCUAACUACGUGCCAGCAGCCGCGGUAAUACGUAGGUGGCAAGCGUUGUCCGGAUUUAUUGGGCGUAAAGCGAGUGCAGGCGGUUCAAUAAGUCUGAUGUGAAAGCCUUCGGCUCAACCGGAGAAUUGCAUCAGAAACUGUUGAACUUGAGUGCAGAAGAGGAGAGUGGAACUCCAUGUGUAGCGGUGGAAUGCGUAGAUAUAUGGAAGAACACCAGUGGCGAAGGCGGCUCUCUGGUCUGCAACUGACGCUGAGGCUCGAAAGCAUGGGUAGCGAACAGGAUUAGAUACCCUGGUAGUCCAUGCCGUAAACGAUGAGUGCUAAGUGUUGGGAGGUUUCCGCCUCUCAGUGCUGCAGCUAACGCAUUAAGCACUCCGCCUGGGGAGUACGACCGCAAGGUUGAAACUCAAAGGAAUUGACGGGGGCCCGCACAAGCGGUGGAGCAUGUGGUUUAAUUCGAAGCAACGCGAAGAACCUUACCAGGUCUUGAC
rnacentral:rRNA from 1 species